rnacentral:rRNA from 1 species
UACGUAGGGAGCGAGCGUUGUCCGGAUUCAUUGGGCGUAAAGGGUGUGUAGGUGGCGCGCUAAGUCGGGUGUGAAAUUUCGGAGCUUAACUCCGAAACUGCAUUCGAUACUGGCGUGCUUGAGGACUGGAGAGGAGACUGGAAUUUACGGUGUAGCAGUGAAAUGCGUAGAUAUCGUAAGGAAGACCAGUGGCGAAGGCGGGUCUCUGGACAGUUCCUGACACUGAGACACGAAGGCCAGGGGAGCAAACGGG